AUUCUGGCUCAGGAUGAACGCUGGCGGCGUGCUUAACACAUGCAAGUCGAACGGGAUCCAUCAGGCUUUGCUUGGUGGUGAGAGUGGCGAACGGGUGAGUAAUGCGUGACCGACCUGCCCCAUACACCGGAAUAGCUCCUGGAAACGGGUGGUAAUGCCGGAUGCUCCGACUCCUCGCAUGGGGUGUCGGGAAAGAUUUCAUCGGUAUGGGAUGGGGUCGCGUCCUAUCAGGUAGUCGGCGGGGUAACGGCCCACCGAGCCUACGACGGGUAGCCGGCCUGAGAGGGCGACCGGCCACAUUGGGACUGAGAUACGGCCCAGACUCCUACGGGAGGCAGCAGUGGGGAAUAUUGCACAAUGGGCGCAAGCCUGAUGCAGCGACGCCGCGUGCGGGAUGACGGCCUUCGGGUUGUAAACCGCUUUUGAUCGGGAGCAAGCCUUCGGGUGAGUGUACCUUUCGAAUAAGCACCGGCUAACUACGUGCCAGCAGCCGCGGUAAUACGUAGGGGGCAAGCGUUAUCCGGAAUUAUUGGGCGUAAAGGGCUCGUAGGCGGUUCGUCGCGUCCGGUGUGAAAGUCCAUCGCUUAACGGUGGAUCUGCGCCGGGUACGGGCGGGCUGGAGUGCGGUAGGGGAGACUGGAAUUCCCGGUGUAACGGUGGAAUGUGUAGAUAUCGGGAAGAACACCAAUGGCGAAGGCAGGUCUCUGGGCCGUUACUGACGCUGAGGAGCGAAAGCGUGGGGAGCGAACAGGAUUAGAUACCCUGGUAGUCCACGCCGUAAACGGUGGAUGCUGGAUGUGGGGCCCGUUCCACGGGUUCCGUGUCGGAGCUAACGCGUUAAGCAUCCCGCCUGGGGAGUACGGCCGCAAGGCUAAAACUCAAAGAAAUUGACGGGGGCCCGCACAAGCGGCGGAGCAUGCGGAUUAAUUCGAUGCAACGCGAAGAACCUUACCUGGGCUUGACAUGUUCCCGACAGCCGUAGAGAUAUGGCCUCCCUUCGGGGCGGGUUCACAGGUGGUGCAUGGUCGUCGUCAGCUCGUGUCGUGAGAUGUUGGGUUAAGUCCCGCAACGAGCGCAACCCUCGCCCUGUGUUGCCAGCACGUCAUGGUGGGAACUCACGGGGGACCGCCGGGGUCAACUCGGAGGAAGGUGGGGAUGACGUCAGAUCAUCAUGCCCCUUACGUCCAGGGCUUCACGCAUGCUACAAUGGCCGGUACAACGGGAUGCGACACGGCGACGUGGAGCGGAUCCCUGAAAACCGGUCUCAGUUCGGAUUGGAGUCUGCAACCCGACUCCAUGAAGCU
rnacentral:rRNA from 1 species